rnacentral:SRP_RNA from 1 species
GCCUGGAGUGGUGGCGUGUGCCUGUAGUCCCAUCUACUCAGGAGGCUAAGGCUGGAGGAUCGCUUGUGUCCAGGAGUUCUGGGCUGUAGUGCGCUAUGCCGAUCAGGUGUCCGAACUAAGUUCGGCAUCAAUAUGGUGACCUCUGGGGAGCGGGGGACCACCAGGUUGCCUAAGGAGGGCUGAACUGGCCCAGGUCGGAAAUGGAGCUGGUCAAAACUCCCGUGCUGAUCAGUAGUGGGAUCGCGCCUGUGAAUAGCCACUGCACUCCAGCCUGGGCAACAUAGCGAGACCACGUU